GAUAUACUCCCUCCAUCCCAAAAUUCUUGUCUUAGAUUUGUCUAAAUACGGUUGUAUCAAGUCACAUUUUAGUAUUAGAUACAUCCGUAUCUAGACUAAUCUAAGACAAGAAUUUUGGGACAGAGGGAGUAUGAA
rnacentral:pre_miRNA from 1 species